AUCGGCGCUCAUUUAUACAAGAAAUUAUCAAGUACAAAAAUCCAAUUUUCACGAAGUGGCAGAAAACAAAAUAGCAAGCAUUAGAAACAAUGACACCUAUUUUCAGAAACUGCCAGACGAAGAGAUUUUACGAAAGGCUUACAACAAAUUGGGAGAAAAAGGCUAUAGCAUCAUGCUGUAUAACUGUGAAAAUUUUGUAAAUAUUUGCAGAUACAAUAAAUCAAUUUGUAAGCAAGCAUUCAAAGCUAUGAUGAGCACCUUACUGCUAUACCUCCUCGUGACAACCACAAGUGUCAUCAUUCUAGAAGACUGCAACCUAUACAAAAUUAUAACAUACAAAAAAGUAAGAAUUACCUUUCAGCUGAUGAUUGCUACUAUAAUUGCCUUGAAAAGGUCUUGGCAGUGUUUAGCCCAGAUUUACAAUAAUCCUUUGCGAACAAGUUUAGUUUGUUUUAUUUAUUGCUUAUUU
rnacentral:sRNA from 1 species